rnacentral:rRNA from 1 species
UACGGAGGGGGCUAGCGUUGUUCGGAAUUACUGGGCGUAAAGCGCGUGUAGGCUGCUCCGCAAGUCGGAUGUGAAAGCCCUGGGCUCAACCUAGGAAGUGCAUUCGAUACUGCGGAGCUGGAGUCCUGGAGAGGAAGGCGGAAUUCUCGGUGUAGAGGUGAAAUUCGUAGAUAUCGAGAGGAACACCGGUGGCGAAGGCGGCCUUCUGGACAGUGACUGACGCUGAGACGCGAAAGCGUGGGGAGCAAACAGG